ensembl:rRNA 5S_rRNA 5S ribosomal RNA
GCUUACAGCCAUACCACCCUGAGAACGCCCGAUCUCGUCUGAUCUCGGAAGCUAAGCAGGGUCGGGCCUGGUUAGUACUUGGAUGGGAGACCGCCUGGGAAUACCAGGUGCUGUAAGCU